GAUGAACGCUGGCGGCGUGCCUAAUACAUGCAAGUCGAGCGAACGGACGAGAAGCUUGCUUCUCUGAUGUUAGCGGCGGACGGGUGAGUAACACGUGGAUAACCUACCUAUAAGACUGGGAUAACUUCGGGAAACCGGAGCUAAUACCGGAUAAUAUUUUGAACCGCAUGGUUCAACAGUGAAAGACGGUCUUGCUGUCACUUAUAGAUGGAUCCGCGCUGCAUUAGCUAGUUGGUAAGGUAACGGCUUACCAAGGCAACGAUGCAUAGCCGACCUGAGAGGGUGAUCGGCCACACUGGAACUGAGACACGGUCCAGACUCCUACGGGAGGCAGCAGUAGGGAAUCUUCCGCAAAGGGCGAAAGCCUGACGGAGCAACGCCGCGUGAGUGAUGAAGGUCUUCGGAUCGUAAAACUCUGUUAUUAGGGAAGAACAUAUGUGUAAGUAACUGUGCACAUCUUGACGGUACCUAAUCAGAAAGCCACGGCUAACUACGUG
rnacentral:rRNA from 1 species